CUGCUUGUAUUGUGCUUUUCCCCCUAAUUAUAUUCGUAUUCUCAGCCAAAUAAAUUUCAAUAUUUUCCGAGCGGUGUUUUUGAUGACCAUUUUAAAACGAAUUAAUAGUUGUAAAAUUCCCCGUUUUUUCACACAUCAUCCUAAGCUUCUAUAAAUUAGAUUUCUACUUUCAAAACAAAAUUUCAUUGGGGAUACGGCGUGAAUCAUGAAUAAGUACUUAUUGCAAAAAUAAACCAAGGUUUACUUUUAUAAAUUGUUAUUUGGAUGGAGAGUUGUCUCAUUGGCACUCACACCUCACCUUCCUAUAUCUAUACCAAGAAUAAAAAUUAAGUGAUAAAACUGUGUCUGUUAUGCAUAAGAACAUAUAUAGAUAAAGCGUGCAGAUGCUUAAA
rnacentral:lncRNA from 1 species